GACGAACGCUGGCGGCGUGCUUAACGCAUGCAAGUCGAACGGAAAGGCCUGCUUUCCCUUGUGGAUUGCGGGUACUCGAGUGGCGAACGGGUGAGUAACACGUGAGUGAUCUGCCCCCAACUUGGGUAUAAGCCUGGGAAACUGGGUCUAAUUCCCGAUAGGACUGCAGGGUGGUGCCUGUGGUGGAAAACGAUUUUCUAGUGGUUGGGGAUGAGCUCGCGGCCUAUCAGCUUGUUGGUGGGGUAAUGGCCUACCAAGGCGGCGACGGGUAGCCGGCCUGAGAGGGUGGACGGCCACAUUGGGACUGAGAUACGGCCCAGACUCCUACGGGAGGCAGCAGUGGGGAAUAGUGCACAAUGGGCGGAAGCCUGAUGCAGCGACGCCGCGUGGGGGAUGACGGCCUUCGGGUUGUAAACUCCUUUCGACCGCGAGGAAGCCACCUGGUUGGAAGGGUGGUGACGGUAGUGGUAGAAGAAGCACCGGCUAACUACGUG
rnacentral:rRNA from 1 species